rnacentral:lncRNA from 1 species
UAGCUUUCACUUCAUACAUUUGCAGAUAGUAACUUGGGACUAUUUUGAAACAAUCAGAAAUUGACCAAUCCCAGGAUACAACUCCGGCAGUUGUCUCUUUUUCAGAUUUGCAAAGACACCGCUAAAAACAUCUCCUGUGUCUUCAUUGACAUUAUUCAAAACCUGGGAGUUCUUCUGAUUUUCCUAGAAGCUCAUCCAGUAGACUGUGCCUGACUAACAAAUGUGAUCUACACACAAGGAAUCCUGGUAACACCAGCAGCAAGGCAACUAUCUUGAUGGGAACAUGGUGGUGUGGUGGGAUGAC